AUGUCGAAAACUGGCCUCCGUUAUGGACCCAUAGUGAUGGAGGAUCUCAAUAGAAUUAGGAAGGACAUCUACAAUAAAGCAUCCAAUGGAUUUGAGUCGCUGGAGGCCACACUGAACCGUUCAUGCAACAACACAUCGGUGAUGACAACCCCCACAACAACAAACUUAUUAAUCUCGGGAAGGAGGGCAACAAGGAGGGCGGUUAGAAGGACACAAGUAAGCGAUUCAAACAGUCAGGAGGAGCUGGUUGGAGGGAGUGUCAAGAACGAGCAGCAAAAUCCGGCUGAGAAGCCAAAGAAGGCCCGAGUCGUUUGGACUGACGAAUUACACAAGAAGUUUGUGGAAGCGCAUGACAAACUCCUCCCUGGAGAUGCCGUGCCAAAGAAAAUACUUAAGUUGAUGAAUGACUCUACACUAACUAGAGAGAACAUUGCCAGCCACCUUCAGAAACAUAGGAUGAACAUCGAUCCUCUUCGUAGGGGAAAUCCUAAAACAAAGCAUCAGAAAUUGACACCUCCCCAAGCAUCAUUG
rnacentral:rRNA from 1 species